CACACGGGCCGCGCGUAAUAAAGGGGCGAGCAGCAACGCCGCUGCGACCGCCUCCUCUCCCCUCCCGCUCAGCACAGCGCGCGGGGGCGUCUCGCGGCAACCGCCCCCGGAAGUGGGGGCAGCAGCCGGGCAAGGCAAAGAAGGGUCGGGCGGGCCCGGCUGCAGUUUUGGAUUGUGACCCACAAGUUGAGAAACGCUGCACGAGGAAACAUGAAAGUGUGACUGCUAGCCGCUGGGAGAAGCGUUGCCAGGCGGGUCAGCCCUGAGAGCCUUUUGAGGGUGCUGCAGGUGGCUGCACAGUCAUGAGCAAAUGGAAAACCCGGAUCCCUGGUAAACAGACACGCUGCUAGGGCAAGCUGGGAAAUGCAGUUCUACCAGCAAAACUCCAGACAUUUGUUCAUAUUUCAAAGAACUGCCUGGACAGAGAUCAGAGGACCCAAAGAGAGGACAUGUCCAGAAAAACCCAGAUAUACGGUAAACCUAGUUUUAAAGAGAAAUGCUAAAAGUUGAUUAAAAUUGUGUCUUCCUGCA